UCAUCAAAAGUAUAUCAUUCAGUGUCUUUCCAGUGAGGAAAAUAUUAUAUUUGAAUUAAAUAUUUUUGAUUUUCAUAGACUUUUUUCUCUAUCUUUUUAAAAGGAAUUUCCUGAAUUUGAGAACACACUGACCAAGAAAAGAAAAUCCAUCCAGAAGUCCAUGUCUGAAAAUGAAGCAUUUGACAGGAAAAAUUUGAAUGGCACACUUUGGCAGGUUUCCAGGAAGCCAGAGAAUGAUUCGUAC
rnacentral:lncRNA from 14 species